GAUACUGAUUCGGGAGUUGUGGGCAUUGUGGAAACUGGAAGAAAAUAAAACAUACCCAUUCUCCUAUCCUUGCUCCACAAGUACUGUUCAUAGUUUGUAGAAUUUCUUUAGACCAUUUUUCUCAAUUUUAGCAAUAAAUAUUAUGCAAAUGAACACCUUUUUGUGUUUAUAGAUGUGUAUCUAUGUCAUCGUUUAAAAUGGCUGCAUUUAAUUUCCUAUGUUCACUCUUAAUCCAUUGUGGAUUUUGUAGCGCUAGGUAUGAUCUCUAAGAAAGCAUACUGAGGGAGAAGAGAAUUCAACCAAGAACUGGAACCUUUACACACAGAUGAUAGGAAGGGAGAGAGUGGCCUGUUAAGAAGAGUGGGAAGAGGACAUGCUUGGAGCCUGAUGAGAACCAACAUCCCACAAUGCUACAGCCCUUGCCUGGACUCUCCUUUCAGACCACAACUUCUCAGGAGAUAUAGGAACUUGGAGGAG
rnacentral:lncRNA from 1 species